AUUGUCUUCCGCUCCUAAAGGGUGUCUCUGUGCUCCAAUUAUAUUUGAAGAACAUACAGCAUGCGGUAUGAGAAGAAAUAUAUAUGUUUUAAUUAAAUAUAUUUUGGAUAAUGGAAAAUGUUUUAGUCACUAAAAGAAUAUCCUUCUAUACGGGAGGGUAAAAUAAUAUCCCUCUACACGGGAGGGUAAAAUAAUAUCCUUCUAUACAGGAGGGUAAAAUAAUAUCCUUCUAUACGGGAGGGUAAAAUAAUAUCCUUCUAUACGGGAGGGUAAAAUAAUAUCCCUCUAUACGGGAGGGUAAAAUAAUAUCCUUCUAUACGGGAGGGUAAAAUAAUAUCCUUCUAUACGGGAGGGUAAAAUAAUAUCCUUCUAUAUGGGAGGGUAAAAUAAUAUCCUUCUAUACGGGAGGGUAAAAUAAUAUCCUAUACGGGAGGGUAAAAUAAUAUCCCUCUAUACGGGAGGGGAAAAAUAAUAUCCCUCUAUACGGGAGGGUAAAAUAAUAUCCCUCUAUACGGGAGGGUAAAAUAAUAUCCUUCUAUACGGGAGGGUAAAAUAAUAUCCUUCUAUACGGGAGGGUAAAAUAAUAUCCCUCUAUACGGGAGGGUAAAAUAAUAUCCUUCUAUACGGGAGGGUAAAAUAAUAUCCUUCUACACGGGAGGGUAAAAUAAUAUCCCUCUAUACGGGAGGGUAAAAUAAUAUCCCUCUAUACGGGAGGGUAAAAUAAUAUCCUUCUAUACGGGAGGGUAAAAUAAUAUCCUUCUAUACGGGAGGGUAAAAUAAUAUCCUUCUAUACGGGAGGGUAAAAUAAUAUCCUUCUAUACAGGAGGGUAAAAUAAUAUCCCUCUAUACGGGAGGGUAAAAUAAUAUCCCUCUAUACGGGAGGGUAAAAUAAUAUCCUUCUAUACGGCAGGGUAAAAUAAUGCAUGGUCAUUGAAGCAUUAGUCAUACUAAUUCAAUCAAAUCAAAGCAAACAAAUAUAUAAAUAAACAUUUAAAAAAGGGAUUAACAAUUGUUACAUAAAAACCUGACUGUUACACUUCAGAAUGGUAAGUAGUUAUACGGCAUUUUCCAUAACUUUGUCUCUAAGAAGGGCUAGUUUACGGUAACAACUAAGCUAAAAACUAUGUAUUUGAACCACAGUUGAGUGUAGAUACUCUGAAUAAUAGAAACCACAGCUGGGGGCAACCCCACAGCUAGCAGUUUACCAGCACAGUAUUAUACUAGCAUUUUACUAUACAGUUAUGUCCUAUGAAUGCAUUAAUGCAUCAUUCAUGUUGUUAACAAUGCAUUCAUUAGAAUAUAUAACACUAUACAAGAAGCAGCUUCAAGUAAGUGUUACGAUAUUAUAUCAUAUUAUAUUAUACUGUUUUAUAUUACAGUGUAUAUCAUGUUUUAUUUUAUUAUAUUUACACUUAGUUUCAUCUUAUAUGCUAUAUAUUUUCAACUGGCUUCAUGCCAUUGUUGACCAGUCCUGGUCCUGCUUGUUCACCAGAGCAGUUUUCUUCAUCCACUGACCAACAGGGUUGUUCUCCAACCUUAGACACAGAACACAGUAAGACAGGUUGGAU
rnacentral:lncRNA from 1 species